CCUACGGGAGGCAGCAGUGGGGAAUAUUGCGCAAUGGGGGAAACCCUGACGCAGCAACGCCGCGUGAGCGAAGAAGGCCUUCGGGUCGUAAAGCUCUGUCUUUAGGGACGAAGAUGACGGUACCUAAGGAGGAAGCCACGGCUAACUACGUGCCAGCAGCCGCGGUAAUACGUAGGUGGCGAGCGUUGUCCGGAAUUACUGGGCGUAAAGGGUGCGUAGGCGGGAAAUUAAGUCAGAUGUGAAAACCCCGGGCUCAACCGGGGGAGUGCAUUUGAAACUGAUUGUCUAGAGUGCAGGAGAGGGAAGCGGAAUUCCUAGUGUAGGGGUAAAAUGCGUAGAUAUUAGGAAGAACACCAGGGGCGAGGGCGGCUCCCGGGACUGAAACUGACGCUGAGGCACGAAAGCGGGGGGAGCAAACAGGAUUAGAUACCCCUGUAGU
rnacentral:rRNA from 1 species